rnacentral:lncRNA from 1 species
CCCCCCUUUACUUACUUGUCUCGAAAAUACGUUGACUAAACGAAUAUAAUAGUAAGUUAGGUUUAAGUCUAAACCAUAUAUUACCUCAUUUUAUCAAAAUUGUUUUCCUUAGUGAAAGUAAGGAAAAUAAGCUAUAUCGAUGACAUUCAACAUUGAUUAUGUUUAAUAAAAUUCUUGACCCAUGUGGUCAUUGAUUUAAAAAAAAAACAUUGAUUAUGUCCCCUUACCCUCGAACACACCUCAUCUUCACCCACACCUCCGUAGCCUCCAUCUCCUCCUCAAGAAAACAUUUUCCUUCGUAUCGAACACGCCCCAUAGUAAUUCUCUCUCAUAUUUUUGUGAGAUUUGCUUAAUCAUGAUACCUACCCCUAUCACACACUUGAAUUUACAUAAUACAAGAGGGCCAAAAUGUUAUUUUUGUGGUUUAAUUAGCAGUAAUAUAUACAGUAAUUAACACACAUCAUUAUAUAUAAAAAUCCAUGUGGGCAUUUUCAUUGUGGUCAAUACAUAGGUCAAAGUUUGGUUCCAAUAUAGUUGCAUACUUGCAUUGACCUCACAAACUCCACACUCCACACCAAACCAACUUAGAUAUGUUUUUUGGAUAAGAAAAGUGUGAACCAUUUUCAUCAAACUACUCACAAUUUUUCUUUAUACAAUUUAUUUAUUUUUGGAACUCGAUAACUCGCCGUCGCUACAACCUCUGCCCUUCGGAUGAGCACUUUGUGCGGAUGUAAACCACACUAGGGAAGCCCUUGCGAUAGGCUCGACUCAGAAGGCAUUGAGGGGGGAUCGAUCCCGAG